AGCUUUUCGAGUCCAACCCAAGGUUUCGUCAGAUGCCAACCCACUAGGAUUGAUGAAACUUUCUAGAUAAGUGAAGUG
rnacentral:pre_miRNA from 1 species